CAAUAGCGUAUAUUAAAGUUGUUGCGGUAAAAAAGCUCGUAGUUGGAUUUCUACCGAAGAUAGCCGGUCGGGUCUUCGACCUUGUAUCUGGUUUUGUCUUUGGUAUCCUCAUAGGGAACGUUUCUGCGCUUUAUUGCGUGGUGCGGUAUCUAUGACUUUUACUUUGAGGAAAUUAGAGUGUUCACGGCAGGCAAACGCCUUGAAUAUAUUAGCAUGGAAUAAUAACAUAGGAUCUUCGUCCUAUUUUGUUGGUUUCUAGGGCUAAGAUAAUGAUUAAUAGGGAUAAUUGGGGGCAUCUGUAUCAACGCGUCAGAGGUGGAAUUCUUGGAUUGCGUUGCGACAAACUACUACGAAAGCAUUUGCCAAGGAUGUUUUCAUUGA
rnacentral:rRNA from 1 species